rnacentral:lncRNA from 1 species
GGGCAUAAUCUGUGUCCCAUGGACCCAAUCAUGACAUUUAUUUAUUCAGAGAAUUUUGAAAGGAAUAAAUAAUGAAUAAUUUUUCAUAAUUUUUUUUCAUCUUUUAGAAAAGUCGUCUCCUGAAACAACUGAGACAAAUCUACCUAAAUUUGGCCACACUCAUCAUUAGGGUAUGUAUAUAUAGUUUUAAAUGUGUUUGAUGACCCUGCCAACCUACAUGGCAGACAUGGCUAAAAAUAGAAAAUAGGAGGAAAAUGCAGUGUUUACUUAUAUCUCUGAAACUAAAGCAAAAGUAUAACAGUUGCAUUAUUUCAUGCAUCAAUUGUAAAUGAGAAUAUCAGGUGAGCGAUAAAGGCCCAUUGGAGCCUCAACUUUCUAUAGCCAUUAUUGUUAUAGCUGGUCAGUGGUCAUAAACCUAUGAAAAUAAGUCAAUUAUUUAACCUCAGAGCACUACCAACAGAUUCUUAUCCAGUGUAUUUGAUCAUGUUGAUGAAUAAAUUUUAUUACAACUCGUUAACAGGGCAAGAUAUGGAAAUUUAUUUUUCUUCUGGUUUUAUAAUAUUAAGAAAAAACAAAGGAAAAUGAUAUUUUGAUAAACAUUAAACAUGUUGUUGUGGUUUUGUGCUCUCUUGAACCAUCAGAUUAUUACUGUACUGCAAUAAAAAAAAAACAUUAAAGAAUAUCAGGGAUUUACGGGAACUUGAAGUAAUUGAAAACUUGUUCAAAUCCCAAACUGCACUUUAACUUUACUUUGUAUCAACCAUUAAGUGUUGUGAAAUGUUUACACAAUGCUUGUUAACACCAAACACUGAUCAAGUCACUUUCGUCAUUCUCAUAUUAUCAUGAAUAUGUUACUUUUUUAAUAGGAAAAAGGAUAUAUAUUAGAGAUAUAUUUACAAGCAGGGACAUCUGUGUCCCAUGGACACAUUCUUGUUUUAUUUAUUACAUAUUUUAGUGUAUUAAAGUAAUUAUACUGCUUCCACCUUUCAAUAUUCUAACAAAGCUCUAUCUCAUUAAUGGAUAAAUAAAUGAUACUAGUCAUGACCUCAACAGAUAAUUUUUUUUCAGGUUCUCUGGUCGUAAGAACCUGUUGGCCACACACAUGAAGAUUUUCAUUGAUCCUGCUUUCAGCUAAAUAUCAGAAAAAUUAAGAACAAAGGAAAAUAUGCUGAAACUGUACAGUCACCGGUCAGGAUUAUUUCAGAAGUGAAAUUAUAAUACAAUUUAUUUUACUGGUUAAUUCCUUUGAUUUGUAAUUUUAAACAACACACAGAGGCUUUGCAUUAUUGUUUUACAAGAGAGACACCAAAAGAUGCGGUCAACAUUUAUCAUUUUUAUCAAAAUACGCCCAGGACAAACCAUGGAUACACUUAACUUGAAAUAUGGUGCUUUCAUACCAAAAUUGCCUGGAAGUAAAAGAAAUAAAGAACCAUUCAUGUCAGCAAUCAGGGGAUAAGAUGAAAGAAUGCAGAAUAAGG